rnacentral:rRNA from 2 species
UACGGAGGGUGCAAGCGUUAAUCGGAAUUACUGGGCGUAAAGGGCGCGUAGGUGGUUACUUAAGUCGGAUGUGAAAGCCCCGGGCUUAACCUGGGAAUUGCAUUUGAUACUGGGUGACUAGAAUGUGGUAGAGGGUAGCGGAAUUUCUGGUGUAGCGGUGAAAUGCGUAGAUAUCAGAAGGAACAUCAAUGGCGAAGGCAGCUACCUGGGCCAACAUUGACGCUGAGGCGCGAAAGCGUGGGGAGCAAACAGG